AAUAGCUGGAACAAAUCCAGCCCAAAUGAAGUUCAGCAAAAACAACUAGAAACGUGAGCCAUUGGGGAUAAAAGAAUCCCUAAUUUCAAAAGUGUUAACAUUGUUCUUCACUUCUUUGUCAACUCAAUUGUGUUGCUGCCUUCGCCCAUGGCUUCCAAUUCCAAGUCUCAAAAGUCAGUGAAGAAUUAUUUUACCAAAGUUCCAAAAUCAAGUUUGGACUCUCAUGAUCAACCUAAUCUAGAAGAAAAUGUCAACCACUCAGAAGUACCAUUGCUUUCUUCUCAGAAAUUUGAUUUGAAUUCUUUAAAGCAUGAUCCGGGUGAAAGAACUCAAAUCUUGGACUUUCAUCCAAAUCAUCGUGAUGUCAUUCGAAGAGAAUACCUUAGGAGAGGUCCUUGUCAACCUCGGCUUAAAGAGUAUCCUAAAACAAAUGAAUAAGAGUUAUUUUAGUGGUU